AUGCAAGUGUAAGUUCACGCCACGCUUUAGAACGGGCGAAACCGCGAAUGGCUCAGGAACCGGACCUAAUCCUCGGGACCGUAAUCCUCCUCUUUGGAGGCGAUGGAUAACUGUGGCAAUUCUAGAGCUAAUACAUGUGACACAAGCCGCGAUCGGUCGGCGUGCAGCCGUCGCCUUCGCCUUUACUGUGCGUGGGCACCCGCGUCGAUCGUUCCGGGUCGCGGCGCUACAUAUUAGACUGAGACCGAUGCGCGUUCUUCCGUCCUCCCGUCCGUUUAGCUCCUCGCUUCGGCGGGGCUGCGGCGGCGGGGCUACUAUGGGCGGCGCGCUCCGCUUUGGUGACUCUGGAUAACUCACUGGUCGAUCGCACCGGCUUUCAUGCCUGGCGACGGGUCUCUCGAGGGUCCGCCCUAUCAACUGUCGACGGUCGGUUAAGUGCCUACCGUGGUUACUACGGGUAACGGGGAAUCGGGGUUCGAUUCCGGAGAGGGAGCAUGCGAAACGGCUACCACAUCCAAGGAAGGCAGCAGGCGCGCAAAUUACCCACUCCCGGCACGGGGAGGUAGUGACGAAAAAUAACGACGCGGGACUCUGUCGAGGCCCCGCGAUCGGAAUGAGUACACUUCAAAUCCGUUAACGAGGACCAACCGGAGGGCAAGUCUGGUGCCAGCAGCCGCGGUAAUUCCAGCUCCGGUAGCGUAUAUUAAAGUUGUUGCGGUUAAAAAGCUCGUAGUCCGAACUCGGGUUCGUGGUCGCUCGCGCGGCCCCGGGGCGGCGGCGCCAUCGUCCGUCGUUGACUUUGGUC
rnacentral:rRNA from 1 species